rnacentral:rRNA from 1 species
AUGGUGCGAGGCCUGCCAUGCCUCGACCAUGUGGAGCAGUUCUGCGACAUCUGCGUACCGACAAAGCAGAGACGACUCCCCUUUCCCCAACAGGCGAGUUUUCGGGCUAAGGAGAAGCUGGAGCUCGUGCACGGAGACCUGUGCGGCCCGGUGACGCCAGCCACACCAGGAGGUCGACGCUACUUCCUGCUGCUCGUCGACGAUCUCUCCCGCUACAUGUGGGUGAUGAUCCUCGGCAGUAAGGGAGAAGCGGCGGACGCCAUCAGGCGCGCGCAGGUUGGUGUGGAGGCGGAGAGCGGCCGCAAAUUGCGCGUGUUGCGCACUGACAACGGCGGCGAGUUCACGGCGGCUGAAUUCGCGUCGUACUGCGCCGAUGAGGGCAUCCAGCGCCACUACUCCGCGCCGUACAGCCCGCAGCAAAACGGCGUCGUCGAGCGGCGCAACCAGACGGUUGUGGGGUGGCUCGGGCUCUCCUCAAGCAGAGGGAUGCCGGCUGUCUUCUGGGGAGAGGCAGUGUUAACGGCCGUCUACAUCCUCAACCGCUCUCCUACUAAGGCACUCGACGGCAGAACUCCGUACGAGGCCUGGCAUGGGCGGAAGCCGGCGGUCUCUCAUUUGCGGGUCUUUGGCUGCCUUGCGUUCGCCAAGGAGCUCGGCCACAUCGGCAAGCUCGACGACAGGAGCACUCCGGGAGUCUUCAUCGGCUACGCGGAGGGCUCAAAGGCCUACCGCAUCCUCGACCCAAAGACACAACAUGUGCGCACAGCGCGAGACGUCGUGUUCAACGAAGGGCGAGGGUGGCAAUGGGACAAGGCGGUGGACGACGGCUCGACGCCGACGUAUGACGACUUCAUUGUCGAGUACGCCCACUUCAAGGAAGCUGGGGGAGCAAGCAGCUCCUCUUCACCGGGCACGUCUACCCCGGCCCCCAAAACUACAUCGACUCCGGCGCCUGCUACACCGACGACACCACAACCGGCGACGCCGCAUACUCCAGCCCCGACGGUCGCCACUCCGGGCUCGUCUUCAUCAGCACCAGCUCACGCAGAGCACAACCCGAUGAAGUUCGCUUCCCCGCUCACUCACGACGAGGAGCGGGUCGACGCAUGGUAUGGAGGCGAACAGCUGCGGUAUCGCACGAUGGAUGAUCUACUCGGCGACCAGCCGGUGCCGGGACUGAUGCCACGAGACCUGGAGGCGCAGCUACAACUCGCGUGUGAGGACGGCGAACCACGGUCCUUUGCAGAGGCCGAGAGAGAUGCGGCAUGGCGCGCCGCGAUGCAGUUGGAGAUGGAUGCGGUCGAGCAAAACCGCACCUGGGAGCUCGCUGACCUCCCCCGUGGUCAUCGCGCAAUCACCCUUAAGUGGGUGUUCAAGCUGAAGAGGGAUGGAGCCGGCGCCAUCAUCAAGCACAAGGCUCGCCUGGUGGCCCGAGGCUUCUUGCAGCAGGAAGGAGUCGACUUCGACGACGCCUUCGCUCCCGUGGCACGGAUGGAGUCCGUGCGACUUCUCCUUGCGCUGGCUGCCCAGGAGGGCUGGCGUGUCCACCACAUGGACGUUAAGUCGGCAUUCCUCAACGGCGACUUGAAGGAGGAAGUCUACGUGCAUCAGCCACCUGGGUUUACGAUUCCCGGCCAGGAGGGCAAGGUGCUCCGCCUACGCAAGGCUCUCUAUGGCCUGCGGCAGGCACCCAGGGCGUGGAACGCCAAGCUGGACUCCACGCUGAAGAAGAUGGGUUUCGAGCAGAGCCCGCAUGAGGCUGCCGUCUACCGACGGGGGAGUGGAGGAAAUGCCCUGCUGGUGGGCGUCUACGUUGAUGACCUGGUGAUCACCGGCACCAAAGGUGCAGAGGUGGCGGCGUUCAAGGAAGACAUGAAGGCCACGUUCUAG